AACGAACGCUGGCGGCACCCCUUACACAUGCAAGUCGAGCGAGAAACUAAACUUCGGUUUAGCGGAAAGCGGCGGACGGGUGAGUAACGCGUGGGAAUUUACCAAAGAGUGGGGAACAACUGCUGGAAACGGCAGCUAAUACCGCAUACGCCCUAUGGGGGAAAGGCUUCGGCCGCUCUUUGAGAAGCCCGCGUACGAUUAGUUUGUUGGUGGGGUAAUGGCCUACCAAGACUACGAUCGUUAGCUGGUCUGAGAGGACGAUCAGCCACACUGGGACUGAGACACGGCCCAGACUCCUACGGGAGGCAGCAGUGGGGAAUAUUGGACAAUGGGCGAAAGCCUGAUCCAGCGAUGCCGCGUGAGUGAAGAAGGCCCUAGGGUUGUAAAGCUCUUUCGGUGGGGAAGAUAAUGACGGUACCCACAAAAGAAGCCCCGGCUAACUCCGUG
rnacentral:rRNA from 1 species